AUUACACUAAAUGAAAUGUAGUAUUUAAAAAAAAGAUUAAUUUCGUACAGAUUUUUACAAAUAUAGUGAAUUGCAAAUAAUCUACACAAAGUUUAACUUUUAUAUAUUGUUCAAACAAAAAUUCUAAUAUUUUCACAUAUACCAUUUCUGUUAGAAUCCGUUAGAAAAUUUUAAGUAACUAUAGUUUAAAUACUUAACAUUAAUUAGUUUAUAAUAUAAUUUGAUAUUUUUAUUCCUCUUAUAUUAUACUAUUGUCAUUUUUAAAGGGAUAAAUUUGUGAUGACAAAAUAGACAUUUCAUUAAAAAUAAAUAAUUUUAUAAUAAUAAUAAAUUAGACAAAUAUAUUUAAAAAUAUUAAAAUUUUUAUUAAAAAAAAUAUAUAAAAAUUAAAUUUUAUGUAAAUAUAUUUAUAAUUUUUUUAUGUUUGUGGGGAUAUGUAUGCAUUUAACCCUUAAAAGAAAUACAAAAAAACA
rnacentral:lncRNA from 1 species